rnacentral:lncRNA from 1 species
UCAAUCAAUGUCAUGAUGGUACAUGUAUAACCAUACAAUAUUAAUAUACUACUAAACCUGUUUCAAAUAAUGCAAAUAGAGUGAUUGGUGGAUUGAAAGUUGUCAUACUACGUUAAUAUAAAAUGCCUCUUUGAAUAAAUUCGAGUAAUGUACAAUAAUGAUUCUAAUCAUCUUCUUAUUACAUGUACAUAUGUAUACUCUGUAUAAGUCGUCCUUUCUUAUGAAAAACAUGAGUUAUAGUGUACAUGAUGAGCGCUCCUGGCUAAAAUUGACUUCAUAUAUUGUCUUAGCAACUAUUUUGUUUGUUCUGUCUUGUUGUAAAUAUUGUACAUAAUUGUCUUUUCUUCUCUAUACCUAUGUAUAUGGUUUAUUGAGAAUAAAGAUAUAUAGGACUUAUAACACAUUGCAUUGGUACUGAUUAAGUGAGAGCAUUUCGUACCCACCCAGUUCAAAGCCUGGCUGUGACAUAUAUUGCUACCAGAAAGUUAACCUUGCUCAAAACAAGAAUAAUUACAAUACAUACUAUUACAAUAAAACAUACGACUGGUAAAGAAGAUAAUGAUCAAUAAAGUGUCGAUUAAAAACAGGGAUAGUUGUUUUGAAGCAAGAAAGUUAAAACCGACACUGCUAUCAGCUUCUUAGCCUCUGCAUAUGUUUUAAUUCUCUCAAAUUAUAAGAUAUAAUUACUUCAAUGUUUAAAAUGAGAAUGCAUGAUGAUUUCAAUUCAACAGUAAAAAAAACUACAUAAAUGAUGUGAAAAAUACAAUUUUUAGCAUUUGUUUCAAAUAUGGCACUUCUUAGUAAUUAAAAGUGAAGGAGAUUGUUUGUAGAUUCAUAAUAUUACUAUAAAAUUUAUAAAAAA